rnacentral:tRNA from 1 species
ACAGAUAUAAGUUAAGUUUAAACUAGUGGUCUUCAAAACCAAAAAUUCAAUCUGUA